AGCGAACGCUGGCGGCAGGCCUAACACAUGCAAGUCGAACGAACCUUUCGGGGUUAGUGGCGGACGGGUGAGUAACACGUGGGAACGUGCCUUUAGGUUCGGAAUAACUCAGGGAAACUUGUGCUAAUACCGAAUGUGCCCUUCGGGGGAAAGAUUUAUCGCCUUUAGAGCGGCCCGCGUCUGAUUAGCUAGUUGGUUGAGGUAAUGGCUCACCAAGGCGACGAUCAGUAGCUGGUCUGAGAGGAUGAUCAGCCACAUUGGGACUGAGACACGGCCCAAACUCCUACGGGAGGCAGCAGGGGGGAAUCGUGCGCAAUGGGCGAAAGCCUAAGGCAGCCAUGCCGCGGGAAUGAUGAAGGUCUAAGGAUGGUAAAAUUCUUUCACCGGGGACGAUAAUGACGGUACCCGGAGAAGAAGCCCCGGCUAACUUCGU
rnacentral:rRNA from 1 species